AUGGCUCAGAUGAACGCUGGCGGCAGGCCUAACACAUGCAAGUCGAACGGUAACAGGAAGAAGCUUGCUCUUGCUGACGAGUGGCGGACGGGUGAGUAAUGUCUGGGAAGCUGCCUGAUGGAGGGGGGAUAACUACUGGAAACGGUAGCUAAUACCGCAUAACGUCGCAAGACCAAAGAGGGGGACCUUCGGGCCUCUUGCCAUCGGAUGUGCCCAGAUGGGAUUAGCUAGUAGGUGGGGUAACGGCUCACCUAGGCGACGAUCCCUAGCUGGUCUGAGAGGAUGACCAGCCACACUGGAACUGAGACACGGUCCAGACUCCUACGGGAGGCAGCAGUGGGAAUAUUGCACAAUGGGCGCAAGCCUGAUGCAGCCAUGCCGCGUGUAUGAAGAAGGCCUUCGGGUUGUAAAGUACUUUCAGCGGGGAGGAAGGGAGUAAAGUUAAUACCUUUGCUCAUUGACGUUACCCGCAGAAGAAGCACCGGCUAACUCCGUGCCAGCAGCAGC
rnacentral:rRNA from 1 species